CCUACGGGUGGCUGCAGUGGGGAAUAUUGGACAAUGGGGGCAACCCUGAUCCAGCCAUGCCGCGUGUGUGAAGAAGGCCCUCGGGUUGUAAAGCACUUUCAGUGAGGAAGAACGCCUGGUGGUUAAUACCCAUCAGGAAAGACAUCACUCACAGAAGAAGCACCGGCUAACUCCGUGCCAGCAGCCGCGGUAAUACGGAGGGUGCGAGCGUUAAUCGGAAUUACUGGGCGUAAAGCGCGCGUAGGUGGCUUGAUAAGCCGGUUGUGAAAGCCCCGGGCUCAACCUGGGAACGGCAUCCGGAACUGUCAAGCUAGAGUGCAGGCGAGGAAGGUAGAAUUCCCGGUGUAGCGGUGAAAUGCGUAGAGAUCGGGAGGAAUACCAGUGGCGAAGGCGGCCUUCUGGACUGACACUGACACUGAGGUGCGAAAGCGUGGGUAGCAAACAGGAUUAGAUACCCGUGUAGUC
rnacentral:rRNA from 1 species